CAGGCCUAACACAUGCAAGUCGAACGAAGGCUUCGGCCUUAGUGGCGCACGGGUGCGUAACGCGUGGGAACCUGCCCUUUGGUAUGGAAUAACUCAGGGAAACUUGAGCUAAUACCGUAUGAUGUCGAGAGACCAAAGAUUUAUCGCCAGGGGAUGGGCCCGCGUCCGAUUAGCUUGUUGGUGGGGUAAAGGCCUACCAAGGCGACGAUCGGUAGCUGGUCUGAGAGGAUGAUCAGCCACACUGGGACUGAGACACGGCCCAGACUCCUACGGGAGGCAGCAGUGGGGAAUAUUGGACAAUGGGCGAAAGCCUGAUCCAGCAAUGCCGCGUGAGUGAUGAAGGCCUUAGGGUUGUAAAGCUCUUUUACCCGGGAAGAUAAUGACUGUACCGGGAGAAUAAGCCCCGGCUAACUCCGUGCCAGCAGCCGCGGUAAU
rnacentral:rRNA from 1 species